rnacentral:rRNA from 1 species
UGCCAGCCGCCGCGGUAAUACGGGGGGUGCAAGCGUUGUUCGGAAUCACUGGGCGUAAAGCGUGCGUAGGCGGCCAUGUAAGUCGGGUGUGAAAGCCCAGGGCUCAACCCUGGAACUGCGCUCGAAACUGCAUGGCUUGAGUCCGGGAGAGGGUUGCGGAAUUACCGGUGUAGAGGUGAAAUUCGUAGAUAUUGGGAAGAACACCAGUGGCGAAGGCGGCUACCUGGUCCGGAUCUGACGCUGAGAUACGAAGGCUAGGGUAGCGAAAGGGAUUAGAUA